rnacentral:rRNA from 1 species
UACGGGGGGGGGCAAGCGUUGUUCGGAAUUACUGGGCGUAAAGGGCUCGUAGGUGGCCAACUAAGUCAGACGUGAAAUCCCUCGGCUUAACCGGGGAACUGCGUCUGAUACUGGAUGGCUUGAGUUCGGGAGAGGGAUGCGGAAUUCCAGGUGUAGCGGUGAAAUGCGUAGAUAUCGGGAGGAACACCUGAGGCGAAGGCGGGUUACUGGGCCGAUACUGACGCUGAUGCGCGAAAGCCAGGGGAGCAAACGGG